UCUCUGUUAGUAUAUCGGUUAGUACACGCGCUUGUCAAACCAUUUGAUCGCGCGAAAGCGGGGUUCGACUCCCCGACAGAGAG
rnacentral:tRNA from 1 species